rnacentral:rRNA from 1 species
AAGCAUUAAGUUAUCCACCUGGGGAGUACGUCGGCAACGAUGAAACUCAAAGGAAUUGACGGGGGCCCGCACAAGCGGAGGAACAUGUGGUUUAAUUCGAUGAUACGCGAGGAACCUUACCUGGGCUCGAACGCAGGGGGAAUGUAGGAGAAAUCUUACAGCUAGCAAUAGCCGCCUGCGAGGUGCUGCUUGGUUGUCGUCAGCUCGUGUCGUGAGAUGUUGGGUUAAGUCCCGCAACGAGCGCAACCCUUAUGGUUAGUUGCCAGCACGAAAGGUGGGAACUCUAAUCAGACUGCCGGGGAUAACUCGGAGGAAGGUGGGGACGACGUCAAAUCAUCAUGCCCCUUAUGUCCUGGGCUACACACGUGCUACAAUGGCCGGUACAGAGGGAAGCGAAACCGUAAGGUGAAGCGAAUCCCAAAAAACCGGUCCCA